CCCCCCCCCCCCCCCCCCCCCCCCCCCCCCCCCCCCCCCCCCCCCCCCCCCCCCCCCCCCCCCCCCCCCCCCCCCCCCCCCCCCCCCCCCCGCGCCGUUGCCAAGGCGCUGCAAACACGGCCGGGCAGCGCCGGGCCCGGCCCCGCGCUCCCUCAGAAACGACAGUCCCACAGGAGAUGCCUGACAAGCAGAAAUCUGAGGGUACUUGGAGCCAGAAAUGAAACCAAACAGUCCCAGAAUUUUUUGAAGAAAAAACAACAGAAACAUGAUGAACGAGCCUUUGUUUUAAUUAGAAGUGGAAGCUACAAGACAGCUCAGAAACAACUGAAGUCUGGAAAUGAGUGAAUUAAGAAAAAUAAAAUUCUAAAAGGUCCUUUUCCUAUCCUUCUGCCAUAAGGUAUAUUUUGACAUAAAACUUCUAGGUCUUUGUGCUGUUUCAAUGUGCUCCAAAGAUUACAUUUAGGAUUGAGCGCAUCAGAAAAUCCACAUUUACUCUCUCUCACUUUACACAUGUAUUCUCUCAUGGAGAAUCUAUUGGCAGUCAUCAUGACUUUUUCAUUAUCUUAGUUAACAACACACAUUUAGGUCAAAUACCUUGUGUGUGUGCAUUUCAGCCCUGAUUUUAUAUUGCCGGUUAAAAGUUCAUCAGCUAGUGAAGCUGAGCUAUAAAGAUCAAGCUCAUUUUCCUCCUUUUUCACAUUUCUCUCUUUCCCUGCUCUUAUUUUAACUUUUUAUUAUUGUUUAGCUUAGCAGACCUGCAGGCCUACAAGAUGUUUCAUAAAUAUAGUUAUAGUGAUCUAUCCCAAAAAGCAUCUUACCCUGUUGUAAAGAUAAACAUCUAGACAGGGGAAUAAGUUCUAAAAAAGGAUAUAUCCACAAAAUAUUAGACAAAAGAAAGAAAAAACACUAAAAGUAGGCUUAAAAUAGUUAGAAAUUUUAGAAAAUGGUAAUCUAUCAGAAGGCCAUCACAGGAAGACGCUGCACUGGAAGAUAAAUAAAAGGAAAACACUGAUCGGUCCACUUCAUACCUGCUGGCAUUUCCCUCCUCUGCUUACUUAUGAAGAACUAUUUGGAGAGGUGAACUUCCAAUCAAGAUUUUAAUCUGUCC
rnacentral:lncRNA from 1 species